rnacentral:misc_RNA from 1 species
UGGUUCUAGCAUCGAUGAAGAACGCAGCAAAAUGCGAUAAGUAGUGUGAAUUGCAGAAUUUAGUGAAUCAUCGAAUCUUUGAACGCACAUUGCGCCCUUUGGUAUUCCUUAGGGCAUGCCUGUUCGAGCGUCAUAAAAGCAUUAAGCCUAGCUUAGUGAUGGGCGCCUGUCCUACUGCCUGUAGUGACUCGCCUUAAAUAUAUUGGCAGCCUGUACCUUGGCUUUGAGCGCAGCAGAGUCCGCGUGUCUUGCCUUGUGCACGAGCAUCCAGAAGCUCCUCUUGAGUUUGACCUCGGAUCAGGUAGGGAUACCCGCUGA